rnacentral:rRNA from 1 species
UGGGGAAUUUUGCGCAAUGGGCGAAAGCCUGACGCAGCAACGCCGCGUGCGGGACGAAGGCUCUCGGGUCGUAAACCGCUUUCAGCAGGGAUGAAACUGACAGUACCUGCAGAAGAAGCCCCGGCUAAAUACGUGCCAGCAGCCGCGGUAAUACGUAUGGGGCAAGCGUUAUCCGGAUUCAUUGGGCGUAAAGAGCGCGUAGGCGGAUCGUUAAGUCAGAUGUGAAAACCGGGGGCUCAACCCGCGGCCUGCAUCUGAAACUGGCGGUCUUGAGUCUGGUAGAGGAGUGUGGAAUUCCCAGUGUAGCGGUGAAAUGCGCAGAUAUUGGGAGGAACACCAGUGGCGAAGGCGGCACUCUGGGCCACGACUGACGCUGAGGCGCGAAAGCUAGGGGAGCAAACA